GACGAACUGUCCUAACGUUGUUCGGAAUCACUGGGCUUAAAGGGCGCGUAGGCGGUCCGACAAGUCAGGGGUGAAAUCCUGCAGCUUAACUGCAGAAGUGCCUCUGAUACUGUCGGUCUGGAGGGAGAUAGGGGUGUGCGGAACUUCCAGUGGAGCGGUGAAAUGCGUUGAUAUUGGAAGGAACGCCGGAGGCGAAAGCGGCGCACUGGAUCUCGUUCUGACGCUGAGGCGCGAAAGCUAGGGGAGCAAACGGGGAUUAAGAAAACCCUGG
rnacentral:rRNA from 1 species